UGGUCUCAACACCUAUCGCCGAAGUUGAAAUACUUCCUGUGGAAAAUAGGCUAUGAUGCUCUUCCUACUGGGAGAAACCUACAGAGAAGAGGUCUCUUGACCAAUACAAACUGCAUCCGUUACGGAGCUGUGGAAAUCGUGGAACACAUCUUCUUCCACUGUCAAUUCGCAAUCGAGGUUUGGAGCAACGGACCAUGGAAUUGCCAAGUUGACACAACCACAAACACCUCCUUUCUUGAUAUACUCAAGGAGAGCUGGAAAUGGACCCCACUGCCCCCCUAUGGCUUCACUGGGAAUGCUGUCCCUUGGUUAUGCUGGUCCAUCUGGAUCUUGAGGAACCAGCUCCUGUUUGAGAAUCGCACUUAAUCGCCAUCAGAGACAGCCCUCAAAGCGAUUCUGGCCUUUAAAGAACGGGAGACCGCUCAACCCUCUCGCGACCAACAACAAAAUCGCACCACUCGGCCUCAGCAACUCCCGUCAUCCCACCCACAGGAGAUCUUCUGCAACACCGAUGCCUCUUAAAGCCCAACCACCAGAAACGCAGGCAUAGCGUUGAUCUUUGUGAAUCAGUCAUAGAAGGAGAUCCACCGCGGAUCAAAACCCCAAUCUUCAGUGUCCUCGCCAUGCAUGGGAGAAGCCCUUGCAAUUAGAGAAGCUCUCCUCCAGGCAGCAUCUAAAAACUAUCACCACAUCUGUAUUCGAACAGAUUCACAAGUACUUGUACAAGCAAUCUCAUCUCGCCGGCAUACGAUGAAACUCUACGGAGUUCUCUCUGAUAUCGACAAUUUGGCCUUCCCUUCAACUUCCCAGUUUGUUUAUUGUCGUUUCUUGUUUAUUCUGAGAGCCAACAAUGGGCUUGCCGAUGGGCUAAGUCCUGUCUUUCAACCUAUAUUGCCUUGGGCUUGAACUCAUUUUAAAUUAAUGAAUGAAUGAUUUUUUUGCUCAAAAAAAAAAGGCCACUUUUUAAAAAAAAAUAUUUAGGCCACAUCCUGUGUUUUGUGUGAGUAUUUUUCAUUUUAUUUGGCUUGAUACCAACAACAAAUAUGCGUGCUUUCAUCUUUUUUUACUAGUUUCCAUUUUUAUUGUUAUAGUUUUCUAACAAAUAUUAAAAGGAAAUUUUCUUUUUGUCAGUUUCGAUUUUUUAUAUUGUAGUUAUAGAAAUAAAAUAAAAAAGAAAUCUAAUUUUUUGUUAAACAACAAAAACUUCUAGUCGCUACUAUAAAGAGCUUUGACUCUCUUAUGAAUACUCUCAUAUAAUUUGCCUUUGAAUUGUUCAUAACCAAUUAACUACCUUGUUUACAUCUGAUUCAUAACAUAUCAGAUUUUGAUUUAGCAAUUUUGGUAUUUCCCAAGUUCUAUAUUUUUAAUUGUUAUCUUAUUCUUUAUUUAAGUAUGAAAAUAUCUUAAAUAUUGUUAACACGUAAAUACUCGGUCAUAAACUGCAGUUUAAUUGAAUUUUAAAAAUAAACAUUGUAUUUACAAAAAGAUUUAUGUUUGGAGCUUAAACUUCUAAGAAUGGUACUAAAACCAGAAAUUAAAAGAGCUGCUGAGAUAUUGAACUAUUUGAAUGGAAGAUUUUAUCAGAAUUCAUGAAUUGUUUAUCGAAUAUUGUUAAUAAUAUCCGUUAAGGUUGUUUCCGCAGAAAAAGUCUAAGUUGAAGUUGAUAAAAAAACAUUUUACGAUCUACUGUCACAAAAGAGAUCGAAUGGGUUAUUAAUGAUAUUUUUUUAUGAAUGAUAAACUUGACUACAAAAAGAUUAUAAAAAAAUUUGCUACAAGAAAAAUUAGACGAACUGUUUUUCACAAAUACAAAUUUCUUGUUAUACUAAAUUUUGUCAUUUUCAAAAUUUUAAUAUUAUUUUAUUUAUUAGGGCCACAUUUUAAAAUAAUGCUUGAGGCCACCAAGAUGUUCGGGACGGCACUGAAUGGGGCUAUUGAGACACUCAAAGGUUGGAAAAAGGAGCACCGUUUUCUCUUUACUUUACACAGAACAGAAAUAUUUCUCACAUGUUGCUUGUGCGAAGGGUAACACUGAGAACUAAUUGGCUAUACUCAAUGGGUGUGCUAAAAAUUUUGCUGAAGGCUUUAGAGCAGUUUUGGUUGACAAGGAUCAGAAUCCGAAAAGGAACCCGGCAAGCAUUGAAGAGGUAGAGGAAAACGAGAUGGAAGCUCUCUGUAAACCAUUAAGUCCAUAAGUGGAAGAGUCAAAGGUCUGAUUCUAACUUGCUUUCUGCUCAAAGUUUGUGUGCAAAAGAAACCAAAUCUUUUUUUUAGCCAUGUUGAAGAACCUGUUACUGUAAUAGCUUCACUUAAUAUUUGUUUUUGAUUAAUAUGUUCGAGCAUUUGAGAAACAUGAGCAUUGUAUGGAAAGUUUGAAACGUGAAAGCAUCAUCUGUGUAGACAAAACCAAAAGAUAAUAAAAAUAAAUCAAGAAGCAGUGUUGUCAAAA